GUCAUCUUGCAUAGGAUGUCGGCAAUCUCAGAAACCUCUGGGAGUCUGCUUUUCAUGUAGCAAACAACCUAGUAAGAAAAACUAGCUUUGGAGCCAGCCCCGGCUGGAAAAAAUGAAGCUAAAUGAAACUCUCUCCACAAUAUUGGGCUAAAACCUUUUGAUGUUUCUUGCUGAGCCUACCUGGCUAAUGCCAUCAGUGAAAGACAAAUCAGAACAGAUGAAGAAUGUGACUUUCAGGGGAUGAAUUAGCACCAGAAGCCUGGAAGGAACUCCCUGCCAGCAGGAGGCGGCCAGCUCUAGCUUCCUGGGGCUUUGAAAAAGGCCUGGCUCAGCCCCGAGGCUGUGACAUGGUGGGGGAAAUGCUGGACUGAGAACCAGACACCUGGCUUUGAGAACGCAGGUCUGCUGUGAACUUGCUGAAUCUAUUCUCCUGUCUGUAAAACGGGGAUGAUAGUAAAGACAUUCUGG
rnacentral:lncRNA from 10 species